GUGUCAGCAGCCGCGGUAAUACAGAGGGUGCAAGCGUUAAUCGGAAUGACUGGGCGUAAAGAGCUCGUAGGCGGUCAUAUGUGUCACAGGUGAAAUCCCCGGGCUUAACCUGGGAACUGCCUGUGAAACUGUAAGACUAGAAUAUAAGAGAGGUAAGUGGAAUUUCCGGUGUAGCGGUGAAAUGCGUAGAUAUCGGAAAGAACACCAGUGGCGAAGGCGACUUACUGGCUUAAUAUUGACGCUGAGGAGCGAAAGCGUGGGGAGCAAACAGGAUUAGAUACCCUGGUAGUCC
rnacentral:rRNA from 1 species